rnacentral:rRNA from 1 species
CUAAUACAUGCAAGUCGAACGGGAUCCAGAUCAAAGCUUGCUUUGGUUUGGUGAGAGUGGCGCACGGGUGCGUAACGCGUGAGCAACCUACCCUUGUCAGGGGGAUAGCCCGGCGAAAGUCGGAUUAAUACCGCAUGACAUCAUUGAGAGGCAUCUUUCGAUGAUCAAAGAUUUAUCGGACAAGGAUGGGCUCGCGUGACAUUAGCUAGUUGGUAAGGUAACGGCUUACCAAGGCUGCGAUGUCUAGGGGCUCUGAGAGGAGAAUCCCCCACACUGGUACUGAGACACGGACCAGACUCCUACGGGAGGCAGCAGUAAGGAAUAUUGGUCAAUGGACGGAAGUCUGAACCAGCCAUGCCGCGUGCAGGAAGACGGCCCUAUGGGUUGUAAACUGCUUUUGUACGGGAACAAACGCCGGUACGUGUACCGGUCUGAGUGUACCGUAAGAAUAAGGAUCGGCUAACUCCGUGCCAGCAGCCGCGGUAAUACGGAGGAUCCGAGCGUUAUCCGGAAUUAUUGGGUUUAAAGGGUGCGUAGGCGGCCAGAUAAGUCAGGGGUGAAAGUCGGCAGCUCAACUGUCGCAGUGCCUUUGAUACUGUUUGGCUUGAAUUCGGUUGAAGAUGGCGGAAUGAGACAAGUAGCGGUGAAAUGCAUAGAUAUGUCUCAGAACACCGAUUGCGAAGGCAG